GCUGGGAUAGCUCCGUUGGUAGAGCGUGAGGCUCUCAUUCUCAGGGUUGUGGGUUGAGCCCUACGUUGGGCA